ensembl:miRNA
GAUUAAGGGUGGGAUAAGGGAUUGAGGUGGAGCAGGAAUGCGCUUUUCUCCACUGACUCCUCUUUCCUCAGGUGG